UACAGGGGGGGGGCAAGCGUUUGUUCGGAAUUACUGGGCGUAAAGGGCUCGUAGGUGGCCAACUAAGUCAGACGUGAAAUCCCCUCAGCUUAACUGGGGGAACUGCGUCUGAUACUGGAUGGCUUGAGUUCGGGAGAGGGAUGUGGAAUUCCAGGUGUAGCGGUGAAAUGCGUAGAUAUCUGGAGGAACACCGGUGGCGAAGGCGACAUCCUGGACCGGUAUUGACGCUGAGGCGCGAAAGCCAGGGGAGCAAACGGG
rnacentral:rRNA from 1 species